rfam:Schistosoma rodhaini strain Burundi genome assembly, scaffold: SROB_scaffold0001282
AUCCAGCUGACGAGUCUCAAGUGGGACGAAACUCGCUUCCUGGAU